UUUGAUAGGGUUCGGAAUCGAACGAGAAGUGGAAUGGAAUCAGAUGUGAUGAGAGGAAUCUCGAAAUAGAAGUGGAUGAAAGAAAAGAGAAACACCACGGAAGGAAGGGAGAAGAAGAAAGUUUUCCGAUUGCUGUAAAAUUUCUUUUCAGGGUUCGGAAUGGAACGAGAAGUGGAAUGGAAUCAGAUGUAAUGAGAGGAAUCUCGAAAUAGAAGUGGAUGAAAGAAAAGAGAAACACCAUGAAAGGAAGGGAGAAGAAGAAAGUUUUCCGAUUGCUGUAAAAUUUCUUUUCAGGGUUCGGAAUGGAACGAGAAGUGGAAUGGAAUCAGAUGUAAUGAGAGGAAUCUCGAAAUAGAAGUGGAUGAAAGAAAAGAGAAACACCAUGAAAGGAAGGGAGAAGAAGAAAGUUUUCCGAUUGCUGUAAAAUUUCUUUUCAGGGUUUGGAAAGGAACGAGAAGUGGGAUGGAAUCAGAUGUAAUGAGAGGAAUCUCCAAAUACAAGUGGAUGAAAGAAAAGAGAAACACCAUGAAAGGAAGGGAGAAGAAGAAAGUUUUCCGAUUGCUGUAAAAUUUCUUUUUAGGGUUUGGAAUGGAACGAGAAUUGGAAUGGAAUCAUAUGAAUCUCGAAAUAGAAGUGGAUGAAAGAAAAGAGAAGCACCAUGAAAGGAAGCAAAAAGAAGAAUGUUUUCCGAUUGCAGAAAAAUUUCUUUUCAGGGUUCGGAAUGGAACGAGAAGUGGAAUGGAAUCAGAUGAAUCUUGAAAUAGAAGUGGAUGAAAGAAAAGAGAAACACCAUGAAAGGAAGGGAAAAGAAGAAUAUUUUCCGAUAGCAGCAGAAUUUCUUUUCAGGUAUUGUAAAAUGUAUUUACAAUACUUGCAUCAUUCAAGGCAUGUUAUACCAUUUAACAUUGAUGUGUAAUGCAAGGUAUGUGUUUUCUCUUUGAUAGGGUUUUUAAUGGAACGAGAAGUGGAAUGGAAUCAGAUGAAUCUCGAAAUAGAAGUGGAUGAAAGAAAAGAGAAGCACCAUGAAAGGAAGCAAAAAGAAUAAUGUUUUCCGAUUGCAGAAAAACUUCUUUUCAGGGUUUGGAAUGGAACGAGAAGUGGAAUGGAAUCAGAUGAAUCUCGAAAUAGAAGUGGAUGAAAGAAAAGAGAAGCCCCAUGAAAGGAAGGGAAAAGAAGAAUAUUUUCCGAUAGCAGCAAAAUUUCUUUUCAGGGUUUGGAAUGGAACGAGAAGUGAAAUGGAAUCAGAUGAAUCUCGAAAUAGAAGUGGAUGAAAAAAAAGUGAAACACGAGAAAGGAAGGGAAAAGAAGAAUAUUUUCCGAUAGCAGCUAAAUUUCUUUUCAGGGUUUGGAAUGGAAC